rnacentral:misc_RNA from 1 species
UACAGAGGUCCCGAGCGUUGUUCGGAUUCAUUGGGCGUAAAGGGUGCGUAGGCGGCGGGGCAAGUCUGGUGUGAAAUCCCGGGGCUCAACCCCGGAACUGCACUGGAUACUGCCUUGCUAGAGUACUGGAGAGGGAACUGGAAUUUACGGUGUAGCAGUGAAAUGCGUAGAUAUCGUAAGGAAGACCAGCGGCGAAGGCGAGUUCCUGGACAGUAACUGACGCUGAGGCACGAAGGCCAGGGGAGCAAACGGG